rnacentral:lncRNA from 10 species
AAACAGAUGAGGAAGCCCAAGUGGAAAGACCGGUUUGGAACGUCUCACUGACUGACUGGUGGAGCCAUUGGGAGCGUUUUUCCAUCCCAGAAGGAAAAAGGGAGAGCAGCAUUUCCAGCCAGACUUCCAGAGAGUCUGCGGAACUCGUUAGGGAGGAGAGAUCUGUGCGGUGUCUGGGGAAACCGCCUCGUGUAAGGGUCUCAACAGAGUGUUUGAAGGGAAAAAGAAUAAGCUGUGAGGGGGUAGGACACACCCUGAGAAGGAAGAGAUACAAAGAUAUGUUCGAAUGGUGUCUCCUCAAAAUUCAUGUCCACCCAGAAUCUUAGGAUGGGACCUUAUUUGGAAAGGGCUGUUGCAGAUGUAAGGUCAGAGAUGAGAUCAUCCUGCCCUAGCAUUGCCCCGAAUCCAGGGACAGCGUCCUUCUAAGUGACAGAAAAGGACUCCGAGGAGGCAGAGGUUGGAGAGAUGUGGCUGUGAGCCAAGGCGCACCACGGUUUGCCGGUAACACCUGCAGCUGGAAGAUGUAAGGAGGGUGUCUCCUCAAGAGCUUCCAGAGGAGAAGCACUCUCACUAAGAAUGAGAUCUGUUUGCUCACGAAUGCUGACGCCUCUGAGAUCUGUUUGCUCACGAACACUGAUGCCUCUGAGAUCUGUUUGCUCACGAACGCUGACAACUCUGGAUGCUAGACUGGGUACAGAUAUUUAAUGGGAUUUGCCCUCAAGAUCGCCCAAACUCUUUUGAGAAAAUCGGAUGAGGACAUUGUCGGGCUGGCUUGUGGUGAGGACAGAGGUUGGAGAUAAGGUGUUCUGAAACCGUGACUUGACUUGUAAGUUGAAGUAGGCCCUUCUUGUUUGGCCUAUCCUUCCCGUGGUCUAUUAGACGAAAUGGAGGGACAGCACUUAAUCAAUCAAUUCCAGGAGGGAGGCAGAUGACCCGGGGGAGGGAAUAGGACCAGAGAUACCCGGCAAAGUUCUGCUUGGCCAUCAUAGCUUUACAGGUGUCAACCAGCCAUGUGACCUGCAUGACCUCCAUGUCUACCUGUGAAGUCUGGGCUACAGGCGCACCCUCCAGGGACUUCCAGAACCCAAACCCAGUGAUGUAAGAGGCAAAAUAAUUUCAAGUCUCCUUUCAUCUAUUUUUAUAAAGUAGAAAUAAAAUGGCCUUUUGGUCAACCAAUCUGUC